GAAAGCGUUACUGGUUCUACCGUUCCCAGCGUGUUCCUUCUAGGCGUUCUGCCUCUCUGCAGAGACCUCAUUACCUUCCGCCCUCCGCAUGGCUGUUUAGCUGUGCCUCACGGACCAUGGAACCAGCGACUUUGAUCAUUGUAUCUGUCUGGAGUCUAGAGUCCAAAUCCAUAUGAAAGGUAGCGGGCACCAGCUAUGGAGACUAAGCUUGUGUGGCUCAUGGAUCCAGAAACAAGAAGUAACCACGAUGGCUGCAGAGAGACUAGCUCUUGGGAGUGUCUCUAGUUUGAGCACAAACAGAAGAAAGAUCUAAAAACCCUUUCAGGAGCAUUAUGACGUAUCAGGUGACAGUAACCUAAGGAUGCACAAGGAAUGUCACUCAUCGGUGCUGAAUUCCCCAGGGUAAACCAGUGACAGAACCAAAGCACAGCGGUAAUAGUAAGACAGGGUACAGGUGUCGUCAAAACAGCGUUGUUUCAACCAAUGAAGAAGUAUAUACACAGUGGGGGACCUCUGAGACUGUAUUGAAAUCGGGAAACUCUUGGAGCUUCAUGACAUUAAUGUCAUAGUAAAAUAGACCAUGUAUUUGUGACCAUGGUUAUGUGAACUAAACCACCAAUCUGGCCCUUAUGUAAAGGUUCACCCUAAAAACUAUAUACAUACACAGUACUUGAUAAUGAUGAUGUCUGUCAUUUCAGGGAAGUCAUGACAGGAACUCACACAGCUAACCACAUCACAGCCACAGCUGAAGACAGACUGGAUCUCACCCACACAGGCUACCUGCUUAAUUGUGCCCAGACAGCUUUUUUUUCACUACUCAUCAGUUCAGUGCUAAGCCUAUGAAAUUGUCCCAACUGGUGUUCAGGGCGGACCUUCCCACCUCUGUUAAUAAUCAAAAACAAAUCCCCUACAGAUAUGGCCACAGGCUGGUCUAGAUAAUUCCUCAUUAAGACCCUCUUCCCAGGUGAUCCUAGGUUUAAGCAGAUAGUUAAAACUGAUCAGCCUGGUUUAUCAUAUUGGGGUUGGGGGAGCUUACUGUAAACAUGGUGUAUUACUCUUCAGUGGACCUUUUCACCCUGUGUUUAUGCUUACAGUAUGUGUUGAUAGCAUCGUUCUCUGGUGCUUGAUUUAAGCUCAUGCUUUGUUCAUCCUGGACCCUAAAUAUAAAAAAAAUCCACUGCUGAUGUGACUAGCAAGAGGUCACAUGGAGUAAUUGACCUGGAAAUGAAAUUUUAAGUGAUUAAGGACUAUGGAGGUGAAAAAUCGAUGGCGGUUAUUGCUCUCCAAUCAAGCAUGCCCCAGCUCGAAGCUACGGUCUUGAAAAAUGUGUACAAGGGGAUCGAAGCUGCUUAAGGAUCUGAUUUGUGGAAGUCGCUAGAAGGUGGCAAUGGAAUCCUAGCACUUGGGAGACAGAGACAAAAGGACCAGAAGUGUAGCGUCAUCCUUGGCGACAUGGGGAGUUAAAAGCCAACCCGCACUCUCUGAACUUCUAUUUCCAAAAACUAAAAACUACCUAGAUGAGGCUGGGUAAGAUUUGGAGGAACCUCCAAUGGCCUGGAUCAAAGACCAGACAGAACUACAAUGUAUCCAAGCAGCAAGACAAUGGGGACCAUUUGCUGGACCCGCCCACAAGGUUGAGGUUCCAGGUGGUUUGAGCUAAUCAAGGAGUGUUAUUUUGUUACUCGAUGUCAGAACAAGCAGUGGGUCUCCCAGGGCUGAUGGCUCUUAGAUACUCUGUGGAAGCUGACUGCCGGAGGGAGCUACUUGUAGAAUAAGAUCUUUAGUAUGGAUAGUAUCUCCCUGUUCUGGAAAUGGAGACCCGGAAAGCAGUCCCAUCCGUAGGGAGGUAGAAUUGGUGAUCACUUUAAAGCUUUUAGACAAGGCAAGAGUCUUCUUUAAAAGCAGUGUUGAUACAGGGCUGUAAAUCGAGGCCCUUUUGCCACCUGGCAUGAUGGCAUGGUGGCAUGGUGAGGACCCCAGGACCUCCCAGCAUGGCCUUCCAGUGUGUCAAUAUGCACCCUACUGGUGGCCUGCAGGAACAGAGAGAGGGCAAAGACAGUCCAACUCUGCUCCCUGGUGUCCCGCCAACUCCUUAUGCCAGACCAAGAAGACCGUUUGGAAAAUGGUUUUUGAUGCUUUGCUUGUGUAGGUGCGUGUACACAAGUUGACUCAAUGAUGUCCCGAUGACACAUUUCAAACCUGGUAACAUGUGACCAUACUCCGGACCUGUACCAGGCACUAGUCCAAGUACUUUGUGUCUAUCCACACCUGUGAGGUGGGGUCUAUCCGUCCCAUUUUCUAUGUGAGUAAACUGAGGUUCAGAGGGUUUAAGUCAUGACUAAUCGAUGUCAGAUCAUCAGGAGUCCAGCUGCACAUGCUCCUGAAUAUAGCCUUUUGAUCAUGGUGCCUUGCCUUUGAAGUUUGCCAGUAGGUCUAAACGCUACUUUAGAAACUGCUGAUGGCAUGUGCGAGCUUGCUUUUAGAGGGUUGGCAGCCAGAAUCUCAACUCAUCCACACUGUGCUAGCUUGCUUCCCAGCAUCUGCACACACCCCUGAAUGUUUAUAACUGACACAGCCACUUGAAUCAGUCACUGUCAACUCCCAUCCGCAUUCUGCCCCAAAAUGCCCACAUGACACCAUGCUAGGCUCUCAGCCAUGCAGGGCGCACAUUAUCUACGAUUUCUUCUCUUCCCACCCGCCUGCCGCAUUUGUCCGAUCCCCUAACUUACUGUUUCAUAGGGCUGCUGUGGGCUCAUGAAGUCUCUCAAGUAGGAUCUGAUUGCUGCCUCUACCUUAAGCUUGGCCCAUUUGCAAAAGCCAGUGCUGUUUUUAGUACAGUGCCCAGCUCAGAAAGUCCCCGAGGAUCAGAGAAGCGGCUUGUUCAUGGAAAUCUUUCUCCAUACAUCACCGAUCUGAGGCAUAAUCUGUAAUUGCGUACAUACAAUGCACUCAGUGGUCACAUGUUCCCCCUCCCACUUCUGGGAAACUAGAGCUGGGAAAAAAAUAUUCAGAACCUUAACUGGGCUCUUGCUGGUGAAGCAGAAGAUUUCAGGUGAGCAGUGGAUUCGCAGAGUGGAUGCAGUGACCUUUGUGAUUUGCAGUGUUUUCAUUCUGCAGCUUGCACGGCAGGGACCCUGACUUCAGAAGCUCUGAUGGCCUGAGGCUGUGUUGGAGAGAAAAAGAAAUAAAGACAGCCUGCCCUACUUCCAGCUUGUCUAGUAAUCUCCCUGUGCAGCUGGGAACCUGAACCGGGCAAGACUGUGUGGAUGAGCGACCUCUAGUGGCUGUGAUUGGGAAGUGC
rnacentral:sRNA from 1 species